UGGGGAAUAUUGCACAAUGGGGGAAACCCUGAUGCAGCGACGCCGCGUGAACGAAGAAGGUAUUCGUAUCGUAAAGUUCUGUCCUAUGGGAAGAUAAUGACAGUACCAUAGAAGAAAGCUCCGGCUAAAUACGUUCCAGCAGCCGCGGUAAUACGUAUGGAGCGAGCGUUGUCCGGAAUUAUUGGGCGUAAAGGGUACGCAGGCGGUUUAAUAAGUCGAAUGUUAAAGAUCGGGGCUCAACCCCGCAAAGCAUUGGAAACUGAUAAACUUGAGUAGUGGAGAGGAAAGUGGAAUUACUAGUGUAGUGGUGAAAUACGUAGAUAUUAGGAGGAAUACCAGUAGCGAAGGCGACUUUCUGGACACAAACUGACGCUGAGGUACGAAAGCGUGGGGAGCAAACAGG
rnacentral:rRNA from 1 species